rnacentral:rRNA from 1 species
GGAUUGCCCUAGUAACGGCGAGUGAAGCGGCAACAGCUCAAAUUUGAAAUCUGGCGCAAGCCCGAGUUGUAAUUUGUAGAGGAUGCUUCUGGGUAGCGACCGGUCUAAGUUCCUUGGAACAGGACGUCAUAGAGGGUGAGAAUCCCGUAUGUGACCGGCCCGCACCCUUUACGUAGCUCCUUCGACGAGUCGAGUUGUUUGGGAAUGCAGCUCUAAAUGGGAGGUAAAUUUCUUCUAAAGCUAAAUACCGGCCAGAGACCGAUAGCGCACAAGUAGAGUGAUCGAAAGAUGAAAAGUACUUUGGAAAGAGAGUUAAAAAGCACGUGAAAUUGUUGAAAGGGAAGCGCCUGCAAUCAGACUUCGCGGCAGUGUUCCGCCGGUCUUCUGACCGGUUUAUUCUCUGUCGCGAGGCCAUCAUCGUCUCGGCCCGCUGGAUAAGACCUUGGGAAUGUAGCUCACCUUCGGGGGAGUGUUAUAGCUCAUGGUGAUGCAGCGAGGCUGGGGCGAGGUCCGCGCUUCGGCAAGGAUGAUGGCGUAAUGGUUGUCGGCGGCCCGUCUUGAAACACGGACCAAGGAGUCUAACAUCUAUGCGAGUGUUCGGGUGUCAAACCCCUACGCGUAAUGAAAGUGAACGGAGGUGGGAACCGCAAGGUGCACCAUCGACCGAUCCUGAUGUCCUCGGAUGGAUUUGAGUAAGAGCAUAGCUGUUGGGACCCGAAAGAUGGUGAACUAUGCCUGAAUAGGGUGAAGCCAGAGGAAACUCUGGUGGAGGCUCGCAGCGGUUCUGACGUGCAAAUCGAUCGUCAAAUUUGGGUAUA